rnacentral:rRNA from 1 species
GAUGAACGCUGGCGGCGUGCCUAAUACAUGCAAGUCGAGCGAACAGACGAGGAGCUUGCUCCUCUGACGUUAGCGGCGGACGGGUGAGUAACACGUGGAUAACCUACCUAUAAGACUGGGAUAACUUCGGGAAACCGGAGCUAAUACCGGAUAAUAUAUUGAACCGCAUGGUUCAAUAGUGAAAGACGGUUUUGCUGUCACUUAUAGAUGGAUCCGCGCCGCAUUAGCUAGUUGGUAAGGUAACGGCUUACCAAGUCAACGAUGCGUAGCCGACCUGAGAGGGUGACCGGCCACACUGAAACUGAGCCACGGUCCAGACCCCUACGGGAGGCAGCAGUAGGGAAUCUUCCGCAAUGGGCGAAAGCCUGACGGAGCAACGCCGCGUGAGUGAUGAAGGUCUUCGGAUCUUAAAACUCUGUUAUUAGGGAAGAACAAAUGUGUAAGUAACUAUGCACGUCUUGACGGUACCUAAUCAGAAAGCCACGGCUAACUACGUG